rnacentral:rRNA from 1 species
CGUAGGGUGCGAGCGUUAAUCGGAAUUACUGGGCGUAAAGCGUGCGCAGGCGGUUAUUUAAGCCAGACGUGAAAGCCCCGGGCUUAACCUGGGAAUGGCGUUUGGGACUGGAUAGCUAGAGUUCGGCAGAGGGAGGUGGAAUUCCACGUGUAGCAGUGAAAUGCGUAGAUAUGUGGAGGAACACCGAUGGCGAAGGCAGCCUCCUGGGCCAGGACUGACGCUCAUGCACGAAAGCGUGGGGGAGCAAACAGGAUU